rnacentral:lncRNA from 1 species
CUCAGUUGCUUCAUUUGUCGCAUUUUCACCUGAUGAGAUGUGAUCUUCUGUUUUAAGUUUGUAUUUUGUUUAUGCGUAUCCUUCGUCGCGUUUUCUCCUGCUGGUUUUUCUUUUUUGCACUUUUUCGUCUGGGGAAACCCUUUGUCGCGUUUUCUCACCGAUUGUGUUCUUCUGUGUUGUUUUUUUUGCAUGUUUGUUCUUACGACACUCUUCAGUAUUCAGAUUUUGUUCCUUGUAUUGUGUUUUUCAAUUUAGUUUUCUGUGCCCAGACACUCUUGCAUAUGAGAUUGGGCUAACUUUGGUGGCGGACUUCCAUUGCUGGGACCCGAUGCAACUGCACUGGAUCCCCUUCUUUCUUCCAUUCCCACUCCCCCCUUUCUUACUAACCACCCUGACCUUAACCCGCCAACUUUCCUUCCUACUAACAACCAGUUUUAAACCUGGGAGUGAAACUGGUCUUCAUUUCCUUUCUUAAAAUAAAAUAAAAUAAACUCAUUUUGAAGAAGAAGGAGAAGCUUUUUUGCAUAAAAUUGUCAACUGUGACGAGACAUGGGUGCAUCAUUACAC